rnacentral:rRNA from 1 species
CCCUUAGAUGUUCUGGGCUGCACGCGCGCUACACUGAUGCGCUCAACGAGUUUUCGAACUUGCCCGGAAGGGUUGGUUAAUCUUUUUAAAACGCAUCGUGAUGGGGAUAGAUUAUUGCAAUUAUUAAUCUUCAACGAGGAAUUCCUAGUAAGCGCGAGUCAUCAGCUCGUGCUGAUUACGUCCCUGCCCUUUGCACACACCGCCCAUCGCUCCUACCGAUUGAGUGAUCCGGUGAAUAAUUCGGACUGCAGUCGUGUUCAGUUCCUGAACGUGGCAGCGGAAAGUUUAGUGAACCUUAUCACUUAGAGGAAGGAGAAGUCGUAACA